AGGCGACGGGUGUCGGGAAAGCUAAAUUGAGUAGUCAGGAUUAGGGAAUCUACUCCAGUCAUCUUUCUAGUUCACAUGACAGAGAGAGGUCAAAACACCAACGAGGACCCCCGGGACUGGCAGGAAGAACGGAUGACGCUGGUGAGCACCGUGUGAAACUGAGGCUCUGCGGCAGCGAGCAUCCAGAUGACAAGGACUUACACGUCUUUGUGUCAUGCUAGCCUCCAGGAGGGCCCCAGACUGGCGACAGCAAAACAGGCCAUACAAACUAGUUCCACACGGCUGCCAAGGGGAAAACUAAUCGUUCUUCAAGCAUUUGGGGAAGGGCCAUGAUUCCUGAGGAAGAAGGGAGAAGAGAAUGGUCUAAGAUGGAACCAGGUGUGCCAGAAAAGACUUGAAGACACCUCUGGAGACAUCUGGGAGAAUGCAUGGUAAAACGGCAGUGUUAGCAAACAGUAGCUAUCACUACUACUGUGGAAUGAAAGUGACGAGAAACCAUUAAAACCCUCAUUUAAUCCACCGAGAAA
rnacentral:lncRNA from 1 species